rnacentral:rRNA from 1 species
UACGAAGGGGGCUAGCGUUGCUCGGAAUCACUGGGCGUAAAGGGCGCGUAGGCGGCAAUUCAAGUCAUCUGUGAAAUCUCCGGGCUUAACUCGGAACGGUCAGAUGAUACUGCUUUGCUCGAGUGCGGAAGGGGCAAUCGGAAUUCUUGGUGUAGCGGUGAAAUGCGUAGAUAUCAAGAGGAACACCUGAGGUGAAGACGGGUUGCUGGGCCGACACUGACGCUGAAGCGCGAAAGCCAGGGGAGCAAACGGG